ACAGGGAACGCUGCGCGUGGAUAAGACAUGCAAGUCGAACGGGACUUUUUUCUGUAGCAAUACAGGAAAAAGUUUAGUGGCGAUACGGGUGCCAACACGUGAGCAACCUGCCGUGAAGUGGGGGAUAGCUCGCCGAAAGGCGAAUUAAUACGGGCAUGUGGUCAAGGAAGACAUCUUCCUGACGCCAAAGCCGGGGCAACCUGGCGCUUCUCGAGGGGCUCGCGGCCUAUCAGCUUGUUGGUGAGGUAACGGCCCACCAAGGCUAUGACGGGUACUACGUCUGAGAGGACGACCAGCCACACUGGAACUGUAGACACGGUCCAGACACCUACGGGUGGCAGCAGUCGAGAAUUUUUCACAAUGGGGGACGGCCUGAUGGAGCGACGCCGCGUGGAGGAUGAAGGUUUUCGGAUUGUAAACUCCUGUCAUUAGAGAACGGGGCACACGGUUUAACUGGCCGUGUGUUGAUAGUAUCUGAAGAGGAAGAGACGGCUAACUCUGUGCCAGCAGCAGCGGUAUUACAGAGGUCUCAACUUGUUCGGAUUCAUUGGGCGUAAAGGGUGCGUAGGUGGCGAUGUAAGUCGGAUGUGAAAUCUCCAAGCUUAACUUGGAAACUGCAUUCGAUACUUAUUGCUAGAGGACUGUAGAGGGCAUUGGAAUUCACGGUGUAGCAGUGAAAUGCGUAUUAUCGUGAGGAAGACCAGUGGCGAAGGCGAAUGCCUGGGCAGCCUGACACUGAGGCCGAAGGCCAGGGGAGCAAACGGGUAGAUACCCCGGUAGUCCUGGCAGUAAACGGUGCACGUUUGGUGUGGGAGGAUUCGACCCCUUCCGUGCCGGAGCAAACGCGUUAAACGUGCCGCCUGGGGAGUACGGUCGCAAGAUUAAAACUCAAAGAAAUUGACGGGGACCCGCACAAGCGCGAGUAUGUGGCUUAAUUCGUACAACGCGAAGAACCUUACCUGGCCUUGACAUGCAUCUCUAAUCCGGUGCCCGCCGGUGAGAUAGCAAUACACAAUUUGCAGGUGCUGCAUGGCUGUCGUCAGCUCGUGUCGUGAGAUGUUGGGUUAAGUCCCGCAACGAUCGCAACCCCUGUGAACUGUUGCCAUGGAGGCGUGAGUCUCCGGCACUCUGUUCAGACUGCCCUGUUCAACGGGGAGGAAGGUGGGGACGACGUCAAGUCAGUAUGGCCCUUCCGGCUGGGCUGCACACGUACUACAAUGCCCGAAACAGAAGGAUCCGAGACCGGGAGGUGGAGGAAAUCACUAAAUUCGGGCCCAUUUCGGACGAGAGGCUGCAACUCGCCUCCAUGAAGCCGGAAUCGCUAGUAAUGGCGCUCAGCUACGGCGCCGUGAAUACGUUCCCGGGUCUUGUACACACCGCCCGUCACAUCUGGUUAGUCGUUUGUACCCAAGUGCGCGCGCCAACCGCAAGGAGGCAGCGCCCUAAGGUAUGAUUGGUACAU
rnacentral:rRNA from 1 species